AUGCGAAUCCCACCGGUGUUUAUCCUGUGGCUCUGCUUACAUCUCUCCUUUAGUCAGACGCUGACGCAGAGCCCCUCAGCGGCGACGAGGGAGGAGUGCCAGUCUCUCGCCAUCAAAUGCCGUUUCCAACCUGGUUCAAGGGGUGAAUAUGCAUUUCAAACUGGACGUUUCUUCAAACAAACCCAGUCCGAACCUGGGCGGGAACGGAUCACCAACGGGCCCCGAUUCCGUACGUCGGUUAAUGUAGCAGAAAUGACUUUCACGCUGGAAAUUCGAGAACUGGCAGCUGGGGACAACGCCACCUAUUACUGUCAAGCUGAGUACAGAUGGCGUCGACAAAGGGUUAUGGGGAUCACAAUAUUAGAGAGCAGCACAUAA